AAAACAUGUUUUCUUGAAGAAUUAUUGAUGAAUAAUUUUCCACAAAAAUUGGAUUAUUUAACCAGGAUAGGAAAAUGAGAACCUGCGGCUAUCCGUUUAAACCGAUUGUAGAAUUUAUGGAAAGAUAUGGCGAUCUGAGUAUGCCCACUGAAGGGCCCCAAGAAAGAGCCAACAUUAGUCAACGAUGGGUGGAACUAACGGACACGCGAACGUGAAAUGCUGAUGCCACCGGCGACACCAAAACUACUGAGAAAUUGAGAAAAGUGUGGAGUGACUUUAAACAGCAAGAAGAAGGCAACUCGCAUACACAGAGCUGCCAAGGGAACACUGCAUGGACUGGUGGCGGUCCAGGUUCUUCCCUGAAGCCAAAGG